rnacentral:rRNA from 1 species
UACGUAGGGUGCAAGCGUUAAUCGGAAUUACUGGGCGUAAAGCGUGCGCAGGCGGUUAUGUAAGACAGAUGUGAAAUGCCCGGGCUUAACCUGGGAACUGCAUUUGUGACUGCAUGGCUAGAGUUGGCAGAGGGGGUAGAAUUCCACGUGUAGCAGUGAAAUGCGUAGAUAUGUGGAGGAACACCGGUGGCGAAGGCGGGUCUCUGGGCCGAUACUGACACUGAGGAGCGAAAGCGUGGGGAGCGAACAGG